rnacentral:rRNA from 1 species
UGGGGAAUAUUGCACAAUGGGCGCAAGCCUGAUGCAGCCAUGCCGCGUGAAUGAAGAAGGCCUUCGGGUUGUAAAGUACUUUCAGCGAGGAGGAAGGCAUUGUGGUUAAUAACCGCAGUGAUUGACGUUACUCGCAGAAGAAGCACCGGCUAACUCCGUGCCAGCAGCCGCGGUAAUACGGAGGGUGCAAGCGUUAAUCGGAAUUACUGGGCGUAAAGCGCACGCAGGCGGUCUGUCAAGUCGGAUGUGAAAUCCCCGGGCUCAACCUGGGAACUGCAUCCGAAACUGGCAGGCUAGAGUCUUGUAGAGGGGGGUAGAAUUCCAGGUGUAGCGGUGAAAUGCGUAGAGAUCUGGAGGAAUACCGGUGGCGAAGGCGGCCCCCUGGACAAAGACUGACGCUCAGGUGCGAAAGCGUGGGGAGCAAACA